CACGGGGGGAACGAGCGUUGUUCGGAUUUACUGGGCGUAAAGGGUGCGUAGGCGGGUCGGCAAGUCGGGUGUGAAAUUCCAUGGCUUAACCAUGGAUCUGCAUUCGAAACUGUUGGUCUUGAGUACUGGAGAGGUGAGUGGAAUUCUCGGUGUAGCGGUGAAAUGCGUAGAUAUCGAGAGGAACACCGUUGGCGAAGGCGGAUCACUGGACAGAUACUGACGCUGAGGCACGAAGGUCGGGGGAGCAAACAGG
rnacentral:rRNA from 1 species